GAUGAACGCUGGCGGCGUGCUUAACACACGCAAGUCGAACGGUGAAGCAGAGCUUGCUCUGUGGAUCAGUGGCGAACGGGUGAGUAACACGUGAGCAACCUGCCCCGGACUCUGGGAUAAGCGCUGGAAACGGCGUCUAAUACCGGAUACGAGCUGCGAAGGCAUCUUCAGCAGCUGGAAAGAAUUUCGGUCCGGGAUGGGCUCGCGGCCUAUCAGCUUGUUGGUGAGGUAAUGGCUCACCAAGGCGUCGACGGGUAGCCGGCCUGAGAGGGUGACCGGCCAGGCUGGGACUGGGACACGGCCCAGACUCCUACGGGAGGCAGCAGUGGGGAAUAUUGCACAAUGGGCGAAAGCCUGAUGCAGCAACGCCGCGUGAGGGACGACGGCCUUCGGGUUGUAAACCUCUUUUAGCAGGGAAGAAGCGAAAGUGACGGUACCUGCAGAAAAAGCACCGGCUAACUACGUGCCAGCCGCCGCGGUAACAC
rnacentral:rRNA from 1 species